rnacentral:rRNA from 1 species
CCUACGGGAGGCAGCAGCUAAGAAUAUUCCGCAAUGGACGAAAGUCUGACGGAGCGACGCCGCGUGGAUGAUGAAGGCCGGAAGGUUGUAAAAUCCUUUUAUGACUGAGGAAUAAGAGUGGUGAGAGAAACGCCAUUUGGUGACUGUAGGUCAUGAAUAAGCAACGGCUAAUUACGUGCCAGCAGCCGCGGUAAU